rnacentral:lncRNA from 1 species
GUGAGUUACCAGCAAGAGAGGGUGCCUGCAGAAGGCAUCCUCUAUAAGAUAAGUCUUAUAAAAUAUAUACAUUUAUGAUAAUUAAGACUGAGCUAACAGAUGAGAAUCCUAGUCAUUGGCCAAGCAGCAUUUGAACCUAAUGCAAGUUUCUGUGUAUUCAUUUGGGCCCUAACUCGGGUGGGCGGCUGGCAUAGAGCUCACACGUGCCGGUGGGAUUCAGCAGCUUUGGCAGAAAGAUUUAUCGUAAGAAUCUACAGUCUGUAUAUAAGUUCUUUGGAAAAAAGAGAAUUGUAAGACUUCUCUUACAACCCAACUUUCUCAAUUGACCUAAACUACCUAAUCCCUCCCUUACUCAGCUUCCAGGGCCCAAACUGCGUGUUCUCCUGCAGGCCAGUUACUGCUAUUAAUGUCAGAUGUAAGAAUUUCUGUCUACUGAAAUGCGCUGUUUAAUCUGUCAUGGCUCAUACAAUAAAUACCUUGUCUUCUUUUUUGGUUUAGGUGUAAUUAUCCUGGGGUCUUUCCUCAGAGAAGACACUCCCUUGGGAACAUAAAUAUGCAGGAUGGUCUAGUAUUACCAGCUGGCCCAGUGGGCUUGCCAGCCGAUUAUCAAUACAUUUCCCAUUUUUAGGUUUGUCUCUUCUUUCCCUCCCUCAGCUGUUUUCCCUUGUCUUUUCUCUAUGCCCAGUGUCUCUUUCUCUCAGCAGUUAGUAGCCUUUCCUUCUCUAACCUUUUCUUUCUUGGCUUCUGGGACACCCCUUCCUCUAUUUGAAAUGACCUUCUGCCGUUUUCCCUGCCUUUCAGUUGAAGUUCUCCUUCAAUCUCUCCCACCUACUUCUCCUCCUCCUAUUCCUUUCUUGGAGUUCAGUAUAGUAUGGGUGGUUUCCUAGCUUCAGGUCUUGGAAUGCUUUCCAGAAAUGUUCUGUGCUGGUAAUGAUACCUUCUCCAGUUCUGCCCAUGUGCAUUUGACUGUCUAUUUGAAUGCCUCUGAGGCAUUUAGAAAUUCAGAUGUUUCACCUAGGGUGCUUCAAAUACUUUUGCAUACCUGCUAUUUCCCUGGGCUUCCCCCAUCUACAUAAAUAGAAGUCUCUGCCUUCUAUUAGGUUGCUUGAGCAAAGGUGGCAGGAAACUUCCUCCACUUUCUUUCAUUUCUUACCUCUAAAUUCCACCAAAGGCUAUCAACUGUGACCUGGAACUGCCAUUCAUUUUCAUAGUUCUAAGCCUGGUGUCUUAUUCUUAAUGCCUGUACUCUGACCCCUCUACCUUAUAUACUGAUUAGUGGUAUUAUUUACAUGUCAUCACGAAAUAAAGCAUAGGUCUUCACAUUUGUGCAUUAAGGACUCCCUCCUGGAAAGCAAGCAGGUGCCCUUACAAAAGGAGUCUUGCAAGAUCACACUAUCCAGGAUGUUGAGUGAAUCUGUCUUCUGGGUUGUAAGAACCAAUAGGAGAGAGAGAGAGAGAGAGAGAGAGAGAGAGAGAGAGAGAGAGGAGACAGAAAGAGAAAAAACAGUGUGAAAGAGACAGAAAGAGGGAAGAGAGACAGAGACAGAGAGACAUACACAUACUCUGCAAGGAAUGAAGACAUGAGAAAGAAAAGCUGAUACAAUUUAGCUAGUCAAAAUUUCACUGACAAUGAGUGCUAGACUGAGUAUGCCUUGAAGGACAUCUGAAUAAAUUCUCCAGAUAAACAGGGGUGAAUGACUCAACACCCAGAUCUGUGAAAAGUAAAUUUAUGCUUUUCAUGUAAGUUAAUCUGCCUCAGGUAUUUUUUUACAGCAUCACAAAUGGACAUGACAUCCUGAGUGCCCAGCCUGGAGUCGUGGACAUGAAACCCAAGGGACCUUGUUCCUUCUAGAUCAGCUCACCAGCCCACAUGGUCUUCUUGGAUCUCUCUUUGGUUUGUGGAGAAAUAUCCACUCCAAUAUGGCGUUUUCCCUCUGCAUCAGAAUUCCAGAAGGGUAUUCUCUGGAUGGCAAGAUGACCAGAAUACAAUCUAAAUCAAGGUUUAUCCAAUCUACAUGCGUAUCCAAUAUUCUAUUUUCUACCCAUAGUAGUUCUUUUUCUGCAUCAGUGGAUAAUAUCCGUGAACUGUUUAGCUCCUUGUCACCUUUAAGAGCCAUUUUAAAAUGCUUUAAUUCAUGUCCUUCUACCCCAAUAAUUGUCUGUAAUUGAGAAAUUUCUCCUAGCAGCUUCUGAAGACUAUUAAGAGUUUGAUAACGAUCCCUUCUAAUUUGUACCUUCUGUGGUCUGAUUCUUUGUAAGUCUAUCUUAUAUCCUAAAUAGUUAAUAGAAUCUCCUCUUUGUAUCUUUUACAGGGCAAUCUGUAACCCCCAUCUAGGCAGAACUUCUUUUACCACGUCAAACAUACAUUCCAAAGUUUCCUUAUUGGAAUCUGAUAAAAGAAUAUCAUCCAUGUAAUGAUAAACGAGGGAUUGUGAAAAUUUCUUAUGAAUUAUUUCCAAAGGUUGUUGUACAAAGUGUUGACACAAAGUAGGACUAUUUAGCAUCCCUUGAGGUAAAACCUUCUACUGAUAUCUCUGAACUGGCUGUGAGUUAUUAAGAGUUGGUACAGUAAAUGCAAAUUUCUCUCUAUCACUUUCUUUAAUGGUAUAGUGAAAAAAGUCUUUCAGGUCAAUUACUAUGAUCAGUCAUCCUUUAGGUAUUAAGGAAGGCAAUGGCAUUCCAAGCUGUAGAGAGCCCAUAGGUUGAAUUACCUUAUUUAUGGCUUUCAGGUCUGUCAGCAUUCUCCACUUACCUGAAUUCUUUUUGAUAACAAAUACAGGAGAAGUCCAA